UUUACAAAUUCCUAGGGUUGCCAGAUCAAUUCCGUGUAAGUGCUGGAAAACGCCUCACAUAGUCCCACUGUUUGUUGUUGUUUCUUUAGAUCUGGAUAUAUAUGUAUGUAUUUCCACCACCUGGCGCGUCGACCGGCGUUAUAAAGGCGGUUUGUUCUCCGCAAGCGACAAUCACGAACUGACUUGAUGUACCGCCGAAAUGAGCGGGUGUGUGCGUCUGUGUGUCUCGAUUGAGUGAUUGAUUAGUCUGCUGACGACCGACUUUACUUGUGUGAGUGUGGAAAUGCGCAAUAAAUCACUUAAUGCCCAGGCAUUUCUGGCAAUGUGAAGGAUAAAUUUUAAAUUGUACCUGCACCUCAGGUUAUUUUAUUGUACUGUCUUUUUACUUCAACGACCAUCGAUGGAGUCGUCUAUAUGUCGUGCUUGUCUCGUAAAUUACGAAAAUAUGGUCAAUAUUUUUGAGGAAAAACAUGAAUCGGGCAUAUCUAUUGCAAAUAUAAUUUAUCAGUGCACCGGCUGUAAAGUGGAAGAAGACGACCUGCUGCCCACAACUAUUUGCCCGUCCUGCCUUCAGGAUGCAAAGGAUGCAUUCGAUAUUAUUGAAACGUACGAGAGGAGCCACCAUUUCUUUUGCUACUUUACCGAUUUUCAGAAGGAGCAACUGGAGAAUGGGG